GUGUGAGUGUACCUGGGGAUCUUGUUACAACCUGGUUUUUGAUUCUGUAGAUCUAGGGCAAGGCUCAAAUUCUGUAUUUCUGACAAGUUCCCAUGUGAUGUCUGU
rnacentral:pre_miRNA from 1 species